AUCAAUUCACAGCCUUUUGGCCACAACCAAGUAUGGUAUUUGUUCUUUUUAGUUUAAUAUUUGAUGUCGUCUGAGGGCAAUAUAUUAAAUGGAAUUGGGGGGCUGGGAUUUGGAAUAGGGACCUGCUUCAUGCAUUCGGUCCAUGGACCUGGUAUUGCAGUACUGGCAUGAUCAUAGCAUCAAAA